rnacentral:tRNA from 1 species
GUUAAGAUGGCAGAGCCAGGUAAUUGCAAAAGACCUAAGCCCUUUCACCCAGAGGUUCAACUCCUCUUCUUAACU